AACUCUUUCAACUGUGAGGAUGAUGACAGUAGCAGUAGAAGAAGCACCGGCUAACUUCGUGCCAGCAGCCGCGGUAAUACGAAGGGUGCGAGCGUUGUUCGGAAUUACUGGGCGUAAAGGGUGUGUAGGCGGAUUGCAAAGAUAGAGGUGAAAGGCCUGGGCUCAACCUGGGAACUGCCUUUAUAACUUGCAGUCUAGAGAUCGAGAGAG
rnacentral:rRNA from 1 species